rnacentral:rRNA from 1 species
UGCAAGUCGAACGAACUCUGGUAUUGAUUGGUGCUUGCAUCAUGAUUUACAUUUGAGUGAGUGGCGAACUGGUGAGUAACACGUGGGAAACCUGCCCAGAAGCGGGGGAUAACACCUGGAAACAGAUGCUAAUACCGCAUAACAACUUGGACCGCAUGGUCCGAGUUUGAAAGAUGGCUUCGGCUAUCACUUUUGGAUGGUCCCGCGGCGUAUUAGCUAGAUGGUGGGGUAACGGCUCACCAUGGCAAUGAUACGUAGCCGACCUGAGAGGGUAAUCGGCCACAUUGGGACUGAGACACGGCCCAAACUCCUACGGGAGGCAGCAGUAGGGAAUCUUCCACAAUGGACGAAAGUCUGAUGGAGCAACGCCGCGUGAGUGAAGAAGGGUUUCGGCUCGUAAAACUCUGUUGUUGAAGAAGAACAUAUCUGAGAGUAACUGUUCAGGUAUUGACGGUAUUUAACCAGAAAGCCACGGCUAACUACGUGCCAGCAGCCGCGGUAAUACGUAGGUGGCAAGCGUUGUCCGGAUUUAUUGGGCGUAAAGCGAGCGCAGGCGGUUUUUUAAGUCUGAUGUGAAAGCCUUCGGCUCAACCGAAGAAGUGCAUCGGAAACUGGGAAACUUGAGUGCAGAAGAGGACAGUGGAACUCCAUGUGUAGCGGUGAAAUGCGUAGAUAUAUGGAAGAACACCAGUGGCGAAGGCGGCUGUCUGGUCUGUAACUGACGCUGAGGCUCGAAAGUAUGGGUAGCAAACAGGAUUAGAUACCCUGGUAGUCCAUACCGUAAACGAUGAAUGCUAAGUGUUGGAGGGUUUCCGCCCUUCAGUGCUGCAGCUAACGCAUUAAGCAUUCCGCCUGGGGAGUACGGCCGCAAGGCUGAAACUCAAAGGAAUUGACGGGGGCCCGCACAAGCGGUGGAGCAUGUGGUUUAAUUCGAAGCUACGCGAAGAACCUUACCAGGUCUUGACAUACUAUGCAAAUCUAAGAGAUUAGACGUUCCCUUCGGGGACAUGGAUACAGGUGGUGCAUGGUUGUCGUCAGCUCGUGUCGUGAGAUGUUGGGUUAAGUCCCGCAACGAGCGCAACCCUUAUUAUCAGUUGCCAGCAUUAAGUUGGGCACUCUGGUGAGACUGCCGGUGACAAACCGGAGGAAGGUGGGGAUGACGUCAAAUCAUCAUGCCCCUUAUGACCUGGGCUACACACGUGCUACAAUGGAUGGUACAACGAGUUGCGAACUCGCGAGAGUAAGCUAAUCUCUUAAAGCCAUUCUCAGUUCGGAUUGUAGGCUGCAACUCGCCUACAUGAAGUCGGAAUCGCUAGUAAUCGCGGAUCAGCAUGCCGCGGUGAAUACGUUCCCGGGCCUUGUACACACCGCCCGUCACACCAUGAGAGUUUGUAACACCCAAAGUCGGUGGGGUAACCUUUUAGGAACCAGCCGCCU